UAAAACAUUACAUACUAGAAAGACUUCUUACACGGGUUACGCAUGCUCUUCAACAACCCCGACUGGAUAUUGACUAUUUAGAUUUUGUAUGCAGGCAAGAAGUUGUAUUUCUUGAUGCCGUAGCACAGCACAUUCAUAUGUCUCAGGAUGUGACAGAUCGAUUAACUGACCUACAUAAUGCAAUCCAGAUUCAAAGAGAUGCACAAUUUACACAUCCAGAAGUUCAAGUGGAUAGACAAAGUGUAAGUGGGCGUCCAAGGAUUGUAAUGUCCAUAGAGCACAUUGCUCAUCUACUGGAGAUUGGACUCCCUGUUACAACGAUUUCUAAUUUGCUUGGAGUUUCUCGUGCUACACUCUUCAGGAGGAUGGCAGAUAACCGCCUAACAGUUCGAGGACUGUUCAGUACCUGCACUGAUGCAGAACUCGAUCAACUUGUUUUACAAGUCUAGGAAAGAAUGCCACAUGCUGGCUACAGAUUGAUGAAAGGAGUACUGAAAGCACAAGGUCAUCGGCUUCAGUGGAACAGUCAAAGCUGCAAUGCACCGGAUAGAUAGUCUUGGGAUUCUAUCAAGAAUGACUCAGUUGGGGUGUGUCAUCAGACGGACAUAUUCUGUGCCAUGCCCAAAGUACUUGGUACAUAUUGACACAAACCAUAAACUUAUCAGGUACAAUAUUGUGAUAUUUGCUGGGAUUGAUGGCUUUUCACUUAAGAUAAUGUCUGAGAGCUGCAGACAACAACCGAUCUGACACAACCCUGUGUUUCUUCAGUCAGGCUGUUGAGAAAUUUGGAUACCCGCUAAAAGUUCGAGCUGAUCAAGGAGGAGAGAAUGUUGGAGUGGCUCGUCUGAUGUUUACUGUGCGUGGGCCAGACAGUAACUGCUUUAUAGCAGGCAAAAGUGUCCACAAUCAGAGAGUUGAGCGACUCUGGCGUGACCUCUGGAUAGGUGUCACCAGCUUGUUCUACCAAAUAUUGCACACACUUGAGGAAGAGGACAUGCUGGAUAUAAGUAGCACUCUUCACUUGUUUUGCUGCCAUUAUGUAUUUUUGCACCGACUUCAAGCAAAUCUUGAUGUGUUCUGUGAAGGAUGGGACAACCACCCAUUGAGAACAGAGCAAAAUCUCACACCAAACCAGCUGUGGGAGAUGGGGCAGAUGGAGAAUCACAUUACCAAUCCAGAGGAGAUGAACAUUCCUUAUAUUGACUGGGAGGACAGUGGGUACUUGGAAGAUGCGCACACUGUGGUGACUGUUCCACAGUUUGAGAGCCCUCUAACUCCAGAACAAAUGGACCAGUUGAGACAACACAUCGAUCCUUUACAACUCUCUGA